GAAUGUAAGGGGGUGUCCAAGUACACAGUGUAGUACAGGUUAAGAAUGUAAGGGGGGUGUCCAAGUACACAGUGCAGUACAGGUUAAGAAUGUGGGGGGGUGUCCA